rnacentral:lncRNA from 1 species
UAAACAACAGUUUCCUUCUUCUCCUUACAAGCAACCAACUUUCUUUCCAUUGCAAGUUGGCCACUGCAUUCAUCCUCCUUUAUGUCUGAUAAGAAAUCAUUCUCUUCCUCUUUCUUGGGUGCAUUAUUCACAACUUGAUUUUUCUCUUCUGCUAAUAAGGGAGGGAAGUUGUUGAUCAAUUUUAAUAUUCAUGCUUUGGUUUUCAUUUGGUUUACCAUCAGCAC